UAGGGAAUCUUCCGCAAUGGGCGAAAGCCUGACGGAGCAACGCCGCGUGAGUGAUGAAGGUCUUCGGAUCGUAAAACUCUGUUAUUAGGGAAGAACAAAUGUGUAAGUAACUAUGCACGUCUUGACGGUACCUAAUCAGAAAGCCACGGCUAACUACGUGCCAGCAGCCGCGGUAAUACGUAGGUGGCAAGCGUUAUCCGGAAUUAUCGGGCGUAAAGCGCGCGUAGGCGGUUUUUUAAGUCUGAUGUGAAAGCCCACGGCUCAACCGUGGAGGGUCAUUGGAAACUGGAAAACUUGAGUGCAGAAGAGGAAAGUGGAAUUCCAUGUGUAGCGGUGAAAUGCGCAGAGAUAUGGAGGAACACCAGUGGCGAAGGCGACUUUCUGGUCUGUAACCGACGCUGAUGUGCGAAAGCGUGGGGAUCAAACAGG
rnacentral:rRNA from 1 species